rnacentral:tRNA from 1 species
GUGGCGCAGCCUGGAAGCGCACCUGCAUGGGGUGCAGGGGGUCGCUGGUUCAAAUCCAGUC